rnacentral:rRNA from 1 species
GAUGAACGCUGGCGGCGUGCCUAAUACAUGCAAGUCGAGCGAACCGAUGAGGAGCUUGCUCCUAUGACGUUAGCGGCGGACGGGAGAGUAACACGUGGAUAACCUACCUAUAAGACUGGGAUAACUUCGGGAAACCGGAGCUAAUACCGGAUAACAUGUUGCAUCGCAUGGUUCAACAGUGAAAGACGGUUUUGCUGUCACUUAUAGACGGCUCCGCGUCGCAUUAGCUAGUUGGUAAGGUAACUGCUUACCAAGGCAAGGAUGCGUACCCGACCUGAGAGGGAGGUCGGACACCCUGGAUGUGAGACACAGUCCCGACUCCGACGGGAAGCAGCAGUAGAGAAUCUUACGCGAUGGACGAGUGCCUGACAUUGCAACGCCGCGUGAGUGAAGAAGGUCUUCGGAUCGUAAAGCUCUGUUGUUAUGGAAGAACAAAUGUGUAUGUAACUAUGCACGUCUUGACAGUACCUGGUCAGAAAGCCACGGCUAACUACGUG